GAUGCUGCGUUUCUUCUACCCAGAAUGCUGCAGUGAGAGGACGUGGUCUCUGCUUACGCUGAAGCUCAGGGCUGUCCACCCGAUCAGUAUAACAGCGCUGGCAGAGAGGACGAGGAGCGCAGACGGGAGAGAACAGACGGCGAAGAUGGCGGUGCGACAAGAUCUCAUUAAAACGAAGAAUAUUAACGACGAGAAUGUCGUCGACCCGUUCAGAUGAAAGAGCAGAUCGCAACGGUGGGAACAUGGAAUCAGAACAACUGGAUGAAAGAUGGCGGUUCGUUCAGUCUCAUAUCAUGUAAAUGUUCCUGAUCUGCCAAACGUCAAAGAAAGAUGAGGAAAAGGAUUUUCGCUAUGACGUUUGCCUGAAGAGGAUGCUUCAGUAAAGUUUCAAGGAACAGAAGACUGCUCUAACCAAUUCUGGACAGUCAAGUGGACACUACUGCUUAAUGAGGAAGAUGGCGGCUCAUAUUUUGCUUUUGGAUUGGGAAAGAGACAUUUUAUUUGUUUGUGAUUUGCUGUGAUAUUUUAAUUCAUUCGCUAAUGUGCUCAACAAUUGUAUGUAGCCUAUUUUUACAUAUUUUACUGCAUUGUUGUUUUGAUGAAAUGCCUGUAUUU